CCCUGUGGUGGACACAGCGAUGAGCUGAUGGAUGGCUGAUGGAUGGCUCAUGGAUGGGGCUGCCCAGCUGGCCCCCACUUGAAUCCAUGGCAAGCUUACCUCUGAGUCUGGUGGCCUCAGAUGCCCCUUCCCUCAGAUGCUCCACCUUCCCUACAACACAAGUCCUCACUCUGGACAUCCUCCUUCCCAAUCACAUCCACCCGGGCCACAGAGGUUGUUGGGUGGGGAGAGGAGAGGGCUGGGCCAGGUAUGGAGAUCUCAACGCCAGCAAGCAGUCUGUUCCCUCUUUGGGAAGCAGCUAAGCAGCAGUAAGCAGGCCGCUUUCUACCAAUGCAGUGACACAUCAUCACCUGAACUUCAAAAGCACAGUGGACAGUUCACGGCAGGAGCUUAGGGUCCACAGCUCGGGGGCAGGAAGACAGGGAUGGAAAGGAGGGGCUGAAAAGGAAGGACUGAGGGGCGUGAAGGAAGAAGGAAAGAGGGCUGGGGUAACCCCGAACACCCCUGUGACCAUCCGUAGAAACGAGAGGGCAAGCCAAGGAGCUGCCAUUUGGGUGCCUGAGCCUGAGGGGCCAGCACAAAGCAGGAGCAGUUGCAGAGCAGGACUGGGGACACAGGAGUCAUCAUCUCAAGGUUCUACAAGGAGUACAAAGCCAGGGCAGGGUGGCAAAGAGGGGCCAACAGGUGGGCCAUGGGAGAAGCAGCAAGGGGGAAAGUCAUCAAGGGAGCUAAAGGGAGGAGGUGAAGACAGGGAGUGCCCCAAAGCACAGGUCCCAAGAGAAGUGGGGGUCCAGCCCUGUAGGAGGCACAUGAGAGGCGUGGGAGGGAGGAAGCCAGGAGGAAAGAAGGAACAGGCCAAAAAGAGAGCCUGGAGACUGAUUAGGUAAAGGCUUAAAAGACUUAAUUCAUCUAUUUAUUUAAAAUAAACAGGUGUCCUGAAUGUGGUUAGACUGAGGUGACAGUAACAGAAGCCCUUCCCUGCUCUCUACCUCAUCUGAGGAACUGAAAGUGUGAGCCUACAGAACGAGGGAUGGCAAGGACAUGUCGUCUGAAGACCCCAGUGUGAGGACAAAAGGGAUCCUAAGAUGCAUGGAGUAGAUGAGGCAAUGUGUACCUCCCCUGUGAGGAAGGAGAUGGGAGUGCACCCUGGGAGCACAAGAUGGACCCCUGAGAGAAGAGGUCAUCCAGAAGGGCCCCAGCUGCCCAUGGGGAAUGAACUAGGGAAGCUAAGGGAAAUGAGCAAAGACCCAAGGGGUCAGGCAGCAUAAACCUAUGGUGGACGCAAGGAACAUGCCUGGCUGCGCCCAGCUGUGGGCCUUCCCCACACGUGCAUUUGGGGCUCAUUUUUCCUCUUAAAUGUCUUAAAGGUCUUAAGACCUUUCCCUCAUGUCAACUGGAACUCAGAAAUAACCUCCCUCUUCACUACCUUAUCAUCAACUA